CAACCUGCCGACGACUCGGGGAUAGCCUUUCGAAAGAAAGAUUAAUACCCGAUGGCAUAGUUCUUCCGCAUGGUAGAACUAUUAAAGAAUUUCGGUCAUCGAUGGGGAUGCGUUCCAUUAGGUUGUUGGCGGGGUAACGGCCCACCAAGCCUUCGAUGGAUAGGGGUUCUGAGAGGAAGGUCCCCCACAUUGGAACUGAGACACGGUCCAAACUCCUACGGGAGGCAGCAGUGAGGAAUAUUGGUCAAUGGACGAGAGUCUGAACCAGCCAAGUAGCGUGAAGGAUGACUGCCCUAUGGGUUGUAAACUUCUUUUAUACGGGAAUAAAGUGAGGCACGUGUGCCUUUUUGUAUGUACCGUAUGAAUAAGGAUCGGCUAACUCCGUGCCAGCAGCCGCGGUAAUACGGAGGAUCCGAGCGUUAUCCGGAUUUAUUGGGUUUAAAGGGAGCGUAGGCGGACGCUUAAGUCAGUUGUGAAAGUUUGCGGCUCAACCGUAAAAUUGCAGUUGAUACUGGGUGUCUUGAGUACAGUAGAGGCAGGCGGAAUUCGUGGUGUAGCGGUGAAAUGCUUAGAUAUCACGAAGAACUCCGAUUG
rnacentral:rRNA from 1 species